AAUUUGAAAUCUGGCCCCCUCGGGGUCCGAGUUGUAAUUUGUAGAGAGUGCUUCGGGUGAGACCGCGGUCUAAGUCCAUUGGAACAUGGCGUCCUAGAGGGUGAGAAUCCCGUAUGUGACCGUGGCUCGAGCCCUUGUGAAGCCUCUUCGACGAGUCGAGUUGUUUGGGAAUGCAGCUCAAAAUGGGUGGUAAAUUUCAUCUAAAGCUAAAUACUGGCUGGAGACCGAUAGCGCACAAGUAGAGUGAUCGAAAGAUGAAAAGCACUUUGGAAAGAGAGUUAAACAGUACGUGAAAUUGUUGAAAGGGAAGCGCUUGCAACCAGACCUGCCCGUAGGCGAUCAACCGCUGUUCUCAGCGGUGCACUCGCUCUGCGAUCAGGCCAGCAUCGGUUCUGGCGACCGGAUAAAGGCCUUGGGAAUGUAGCUUCCCUUCGGGGGAGUCUUAUAGCCCUCGGUGCAAUGCGGCCAGCCGGGACCGAGGACCGCGCUUCGGCUAGGAUGCUGGCGUAAUGGUUGUAAGCGACCC
rnacentral:rRNA from 1 species